AGCCUGAUGCAGCGACGCCGCGUGAGGGAUGACGGCCUUCGGGUUGUAAACCUCUUUCAGUAGGGACGAAGCGAAAGUGACGGUACCUGCAGAAGAAGGACCGGCCAACUACGUGCCAGCAGCCGCGGUAAUACGUAGGGUCCGAGCGUUGUCCGGAAUUACUGGGCGUAAAGAGCUCGUAGGUGGUUUGUCGCGUUGUUCGUGAAAACUCACAGCUUAACUGUGGGCGUGCGGGCGAUACGGGCAGACUGGAGUACUGCAGGGGAGACUGGAAUUCCUGGUGUAGCGGUGGAAUGCGCAGAUAUCAGGAGGAACACCGGUGGCGAAGGCGGGUCUCUGGGCAGUAACUGACGCUGAGGAGCGAAAGCGUGGGGAGCGAACAGGAUUAGAUACCCUGGUAGUCCACGCCGUAAACGGUGGGUACUAGGUGUGGGUUUCCUUCCUUGGGAUCCGUGCCGUAGCUAACGCAUUAAGUACCCCGCCUGGGGAGUACGGCCGCAAGGCUAAAACUCAAAGGAAUUGACGGGGGCCCGCACAAGCGGCGGAGCAUGUGGAUUAAUUCGAUGCAACGCGAAGAACCUUACCUGGGUUUGACAUGCACAGGACGCCGGCAGAGAUGUCGGUUCCCUUGUGGC
rnacentral:rRNA from 1 species